UAGGGAAUAUUGGACAAUGGGGGCAACCCUGAUCCAGCCAUGCCGCGUGUGUGAAGAAGGCCUUUUGGUUGUAAAGCACUUUAAGCGAGGAGGAGGCUACCUGUAUUAAUACUAUAGGCUAGUGGACGUUACUCGCAGAAUAAGCACCGGCUAACUCUGUGCCAGCAGCCGCGGUAAUACAGAGGGUGCGAGCGUUAAUCGGAAUUACUGGGCGUAAAGCGCGCGUAGGCGGUUUGUUAAGUCGGAUGUGAAAUCCCCGGGCUCAACCUGGGAAUUGCAUUCGAUACUGGCAAGCUAGAGUAUGGGAGAGGAAGGUAGAAUUCCAGGUGUAGCGGUGAAAUGCGUAGAGAUCUGGAGGAAUACCGAUGGCGAAGGCAGCCUUCUGGCCUAAUACUGACGCUGAGGUGCGAAAGCAUGGGGAGCAAACAGGAUUAGAUACCCCCGUAGUCCCUGAGCGGGCUGGCAAGGCGCAU
rnacentral:rRNA from 1 species